rnacentral:rRNA from 1 species
AUGGUGAUUUCAUUCUCUUCAUAUUGGACAAAGAUACACAUACUGUCCAUAUUUUGGAUCCUACGCCUAUCGAUCCUAUCUACCAAUACAACCCACACGCAAAAUAUUUGCACAGACUUAUGGAUUGCAGAAUAUUUACCGAAAGCAAUGUCAAAGGCAUGCCCUGGGUCUAGAUGGAAUGAGAAUAUUCUCCUAUGGCGGCAUAAAAUCGUAGAUGAUAUUCCCGUUUACAACGGGGAACUGUCUGGUUAUCUUAUUACCCUCUACAUGUCUACAUGGGAAGAUGGAAAACUGCAUUUACCAUUUCUAAAGGAUGGAUACGAACUCAGGGAACAAAUUUUGGGACAUCUUCUAACAUUCGAGGACAAUGAAUCUGAAGAUGGCAUGCCUGCCGGUGUCCUGGACUUCAUCAAUUGUAUCAGGAUGAAGAAGCUAUCAACUAUAUGUCCAACUGCUGCUCCUAAAUUAUCUCGACAAUCCUAG